GUAGGGAGCAAGCGUUGUUCGGAAUUAUUGGGCGUAAAGAGCGCGUAGGCGGUUCGGUAAGUCUGAUGUGAAAUCCCAGAGCUUAACUCUGGAACUGCAUUGGAUACUGCCGAGCUUGAGUGUGGGAGAGGAGAGUGGAAUUCCCAGUGUAGAGGUGAAAUUCGUAGAUAUUGGGAGGAACACCCGUGGCGAAGGCGGCUCUCUGGACCACAACUGACACUGAGGCGCGAAAGCUAGGGUAGCAAACGGGAUUAGAUACCCCGGUAGUCCUAGCCGUAAACGAUGGGCACUAGGUGUUGGAGGUAUCGACCCCUCCAGUGCCGCAGCUAACGCAUUAAGUGCCCCGCCUGGGGAGUACGGUCGCAAGACUA
rnacentral:rRNA from 1 species